AUGAGCGAGAGUUCACCCCGCGAGUUACAGGCCGAUCCGCCGUCGGGCAAGAUGAAAAUACUCAGACGCGCCCGCUCCGCAGUAGUAACGCCUUAACACGACAGAGCGCUGGUUCGAUCGAAGGCUACAGAAUUUUCCAAAGGCUUGGCACGUGAUUCCAGCAAUAGGAGGACACCACAACAUUCGAAGCGAGUGUGACUCCACCAAUCGCACUGCAGCUUUUUUCUUACGAAGGACGGAAAGUUAGGAGGCGGGAAUAUCCCGCGUCCAAGAGGAAACACGUGGCGUAACUGACAGAGAGUGCGGGUUAGACCCGUUGUUGCAUCCUCGCCUUUGAAACUUUUUUUAAAGGAAAAAAAAAAUGCUUUGAAUUAGUUGCUUUGUGUCGUAGGGGUUUCGUUACGAAUGUGUUGUGAGACUAGUUUCUAAAAAAGAAAGCUGCUGUCCCAAUACUUGUACCCCCUUCUUCGCUUAAAUUUGGAAGCCCCCGCUAUGUGCGUGCGCUCUAUUAUCAUGCGUGCUGAAGUGGGCUUUAUUCCAUAUACUGCAUUUGCAACGAACUAGUAUACAAACCCUGAGGAGGGGGACGGAUCAGGUUGCGGUGGGGGGGAAAGCGUGGCUAACCUUCCUAAACCAUACGAAGGCCCCAGGAUUUCUCUUCCUCUGUCGUCUUCUCACAGGGGAUGUUGUGCACGUCUCCAGGACCGGGGACACACACACCAUUCUAGUCUGCUACCUAAACGAAGGACUGAGGAAAAAAUCUGGCAAAUGCGAGGUUGAAAGUUUUCCUCUCUCGGGGAAGUUUGUGAGCCCCGCUACUAGGAAUAGAGGGAAGAGCUCGCCUCUUAAGGAGAGAAAUCUAUACGAAUCAAAUCCGAAAGUAAUUCGGAUGUUUUCCCCGCCCUCCGCACCUUGAUAUGCCACCUAUAGAGUACACAGAUGCACUAUAGGACAGGGUUCUUCUACUUACAAUGGUUAUGCAGAAAAAGGGAUUUUUUUCAAAGCGCAGUUCGCUGCAUGAUGUUUUCUCAGGCGCGAAGAAAACGACAUCCAUUUUGCAAACCUCUAUUGCAUCCUAUCAACUUAAGCAAAGCAAUGCACAUUUGCAAGGGAAACCGUGCAGUUUAGAAACAAAGCAAUCUGGGACCUUUUAGAACUUAGGCUUUUAAGUAAGUGCUAAUGAUGCUGAAGGCUGUGCACGCUUACUUGGGGGCAAGCCCCACUGAACACUGGGAAAUUCCAAAUAAACUUUCAUACUAGGGUCACACAAUCUAGUCUGACCCUAUCUCUGGUGUAAAGCAAGGCCAAAUGAUGCUUCAUAAGUCACGGAUGAAAAAUUCUACACCGUUUCAAAGUUUUGUGCUCACAGGACAGCUUUAAAAGAUGGCUGCAGUGUGUGUGUGACCAAUUGAGAAAACGGGGGUGGGGAGUUGAAAAGAGAAAACAAUUUUUUAACAACUAGACAAGAAGAAAGUUUUGUUACGUGUGCAUAGAAACCGAAUUACAUGCAUAAUUUCAAAUGUUUGGGUCCGAGGGGAUUGACUGUGUGUGUGUUUUCAAGCAUUCAUAAGUGUUAAUGUUGAUGCAGAAAAUGAAGAAAUCUGAGGUGAAAAGCAAGAGUCAGAGCCUUUGCUGUACUGAGGCCUUGACACCAUUUGCAAGAACAAUCUGUUUAACAAAUUUCUAGAAUGCAAAUACAAGAAGAUGUUCUGUAUUCUGCAAGAUUUUAAAUUUACCAAUGUUCUAAAUUCUGAGAGUAUUGCUUGUUUAGUAAUUCACUCAGAGGCACACUGCUGUGACUGUCAUGACAAACAUUUGUGUCUUUUUAUCUAGAAACUAAGAGAUUUUCAGCAGUCUGAAUUGGCCGUAAAAAUAAUAUUUUAAAACAUUGUUUUAAAAAGUACUUUUGGCUUUCUUCUGCAUGAGAUCAUGUUUUAUAAGUGCUUUCAAAUUCCCAAAUUUUCUGUUUGAUGCUUGUGAAAAAAGAGGAAAACCCUGGUGUUCCCUCUCCCCCAAGUCUCCUAGUUCUCCCCCUACCCCUAGUUUACCCAACACUAAACAACACAAGAUGAGGGCCAUUCAUAUUACAGGUUGUAAGGAGCCACCCUUGUUGGAAUGUUGAGGUGUCAGGGAUGUUUGAACUUCCCCUAACAACUGCCAGAGCUUCCCUAGAGAAGGCUUGCAUCUAUGAUGGUAUUGGCUCCAAAUGCACUUAGCAAAAAGUAAUUGCAUGACAGUUGCUGUAGUUCUGUUCAUAACCUUCUUUUCCAGUAGGUCUUAUUGUUGAUCCUUUUCAAUAUUUAGCUUACUUAAUCGUUAAUGCAUGAGGUAUUGUUUUAACUUACUAUUUCUCCCUCUUUCUUGUUCUUUCUCCAUGGAAUUAUUUUUGUGCCCAUGUACACUAGGUAAAAUAGCCACCUGGGCAAAUUUUGCAGAAUGCCAGGAAAACAGGUGGAAGGACAUUACAAUAAUGUUAGUAUUUCAUUAAUGGGAAGAAAUGGAAUGGGAAGAAAUAUCCACACAAAAGGUUUACAUUAAUUUCAGCUGAUUUAUUGGCAGCCAGAUCCUACAUCUGAUUUUGAGGAAAUUGAAUUUAUUUCCACGGAGCAUACUUCAUUUGCCAUAAAUGUGCUUACAGUCAGCCUAAACUCUGUGUCACUUCAGCCCUAAAAACUAUGUAGAAUUGUUCAUGUUUGAUCUUUCCGCAGGUUCCAGAUACAUAAUUUGCCUGCUAUGUAUUAAUGCAAACACCACAUAAAUACAUAUACUCUUAUACUCCUGGUUAUCAAAAUGGAUAGUUAUUCUAUAAUGUCUCAACUUUGAAAUUCAGAAAUUUGAUUCUAUAGGAGAGUACAGUAUGUAUCAAUAUUGAGUCUAUAUGUGUUUCUAACGUUCAUUAUAGUGGGAAUUCUGUCUCAACGUGAGGAGAUUUUGGCACUUUCUUACAUAUGUAAAAGAUCUGUAGAGAUAACUUCAAUAUUGGGUUGACCUUUCUGUGUGGGAUUAGGGUGCAGGCACUGUUUGACGAUUGAUUGUGCUCAUUGACUUUCAUGCUGUUCUGUAUUAUCAUUGAAACUGAGGGAGGUAUUAAAGACAUUGUUACUCCCUAUGUGCUGUAUUUGAACAAAGGCAUAGCUUCGAUCAGAUUAGCAUUAAAUUGCACUCACUACUGAGUAUAGAAUGAAACCCCAUCUGUUUCCAAUAUUAGCAUAUGGACAGCUGAUCUCUAUGGCAAAAAUCUGUUUAUUCCAAAGGCACCCUGUUUUAGAGAUUGUACACCAUAGGAGAAAUCCCAGAUGUGUACCAUUUAAAAGAUGGAAAGAGGGCCUGUAAUUCAUGAUGAAAGUUGUUUGCAAUUUAAUAACACAUAAGUUACUAUAAACUGCGGAUAUACAGAAUAAGGUCGGCAAGAAUGAUAUAUAGUUGUGAUCGCUUAAAAUGUAUACAAAAUAUGAUGAAAGUUUCUAUUAUAUGCAAAGAUACUCAGUCAUACUGAAAGGUAUAUUAAUUCUUUCUGUAUAUAUUUCUCCUAGAACAGUGAAACAUCUAGUGACUCUAAUUUUCUUUUGGAAGAAAAAGUCUUGUAUGUAAAUCAAAGCUAAGAAGUUCCUAAUCAGUUGCAAAGGUUCUGAACAUUCAUUGUAUGUAUGAACUGAAGACACCUGUUUUGUUUUUAUCUAUAUAGUGUUCUUUCAACCUGAGCAUGUAAUUUGUGUCACUCCUCCCACAGACCGCCCUGUUUCUUUGUCUAAUCUCAGUGAUCCAACAAUAACAACCUCACAACAUCUGGUAGAAAAGAUAUGAAUAGAAAGGGUACAAUUUAUAGCCACUCUGAAGUUUCCACCGCUCACAGUAGAACUCCUAAAUAUGAGAUUUCAUUGGUGCUGUAUUCUGAUGGUGCAUUAAAUUAAGUUUUUUCAGAUAGUGAGUUUGAAAUUAACAGUGCUGUUAGAAUACAAUGGGCAAAUUAUAGGUUCAUAAACUUGUAUCUCAAAUCACAAUGUCAUUUAGACAUACUACACCUUUUUUAAAAUUGUGAACAGACAAUGCAGUCUAAAAAUAACUAUUUGGUAGACCUCUGUUAAAAAGAAAGCAAACACUAUGCAUAUUUUAAAAAUAUGUACUUGGGGAACUUUUAUAAUACUCAAGUGGGAGGUGUUACAUGGCAUUGAAACUGUAUUGCCAUUCUUGAAUAAAAGGAUUGAUAACCUCUGUCUUUAAGCACUCAGAA